GAUGAACGCUGGCGGCGUGCCUAAUACAUGCAAGUCGAGCGAACAGACGAGGAGCUUGCUCCUCUGACGUUAGCGGCGGACGGGUGAGUAACACGUGGAUAACCUACCUAUAAGACUGGGAUAACUUCGGGAAACCGGAGCUAAUACCGGAUAAUAUAUUGAACCGCAUGGUUCAAUAGUGAAAGACGGUUUUGCUGUCUCUUAUAGAUGGAUCCGCGCCGCAUUAGCUAGUUGGUAAGGUAACGGCUUACCAAGGCAACGAUGCGUAGCCGACCUGAGAGGGUGAUCAGCCACACUGGAACUGAGACACGGUCCAGACUCCUACGGGAGGCAGCAGUAGGGAAUCUUCCGCAAUGGGCGAAAGCUUGACGGAGCAACGCCGCGUGAGUGAAGAAGGUCUUCGGAUCGUAAAACUCUGUUAUUAGGGAAGAACAGAUGUGUAAGUAACUAUGCACGUCUUGACGGUACCUAAUCAGAAAGCCACGGCUAACUACGUG
rnacentral:rRNA from 1 species